rnacentral:lncRNA from 1 species
CCAGAUUUAAUCAAAAACGGACGACCCAGAUUAAAACAAAAUGGACGGCUGAGAUCAAAAGGCAAAAGGUUAUAAAUAGAACCCCCACACCAGACCACAAACCCUAGCCGCCUGCCGCUCGCCGGAGAAGACGAACCAGAAGCCGGCCGCGGCCACCCGCCGCCGCACCGGAGGGAUUUCCGACCGCCGAUCGAGGUAAAUUUCAUACCCCC